rnacentral:sRNA from 1 species
GCUGAGCUCUUUCUCUACCGUCCAUCUUUUAUCAAG